rnacentral:rRNA from 1 species
UGCAGUCGCACGAGAACGCUUCAGCUUGCUGAAGUUAGUAAAGUGGCGCACGGCGUGAGUAACGCGUGGGUAAUCUACCCUUGAAUUGGGGAUAACCCGCCGAAAGGCGGACUAAUACCGGAUGAUAUCUUGAAUAUUUAGGUAUUCAUGAUCAAAGAUGGCCUCUACAUGUAAGCUAUUGUUUGGGGAUGAGCCCGCGUACCAUUAGCUUGUUGGUAGGGUAAUGGCCUACCAAGGCUACGAUGGUUAGCUGGUCUUAGAGGAUGAUCAGCCACACUGGAACUGACACACGGUCCAGACUCCUACGGGAGGCAGCAGUGAGGAAUUUUGCGCAAUGGGGGAAACCCUGACGCAGCAACGCCGCGUGAGUGAUGAAGGCUUUCGGGUCGUAAAGCUCUGUCAAGUGGGAAGAAUCCAUAUGGCGAUAAUACCGCCUUAUGCUGACGGUACCACUGAAGGAAGCACCGGCUAACUCCGUG